rnacentral:rRNA from 1 species
UAGGUAGCUUAACCUUCGGGAGGGCGCUUACCACUUUGUGAUUCAUGACUGGGGUGAAGUCGUAACAAGGUAACCGUAGGGGAACCUGCGGUUGGAUCACCUCCUUACCUAAAGA